CGACGCCGCGUGAGGGAUGACGGCCUUCGGGUUGUAAACCUCUUUCAGUAGGGAAGAAGCGAAAGUGACGGUACCUGCAAAACAAGCGCCGGCUAACUACGUGCCACCAGCCGCGGUAAUACGUACGGCGCAUGCGUUAUCCGGAAUUAUUGGGCGUAAAGAGCUCGUAAGCGGUUUGUCGCGUCUGCCGUGAAAGUCCGGGGCUCAACUCCUGAUCUGCGGUGGGUACGGGCAGACUAUAGUGAAGUAGGGGAGACUGGAAAUCCUGGUGUAGCGGUGAAAUGCGCAUAUAUCGAGAGGAACACCGAUGGCGAAGGCAGGUCUCUGGGCAUUAACUGACGCUGAGGAGCGAAGGCAUGGGGAGCGAACAGGAUUACAUGCCCUGGUAGUCCAUGCCGUAAACGUUGGGCACUACGUGUGGGGGACAUUCCACGUUUUCCGCGCCGUAACUAACGCAUUAACUGCCCCGCCUGGGGAGUACGGCCGCAAGGCUAAAACUCUGAGGAAUUGACGGGGGCCCGCACAAGCGGCGGAUCAUGCUGAUUAAUUCGAUGCAACGCGUACAACCUUACCAAGGCUUGACAUGAACCGGAAAGACCU
rnacentral:rRNA from 1 species